rnacentral:lncRNA from 1 species
AGAAAAGCAAAUUUGAGAAACUGUUUCCAGGGGCCAACCCUGGAUACUCUCCUGUUUGCCAAUUUCCUACUGCUGCUACCCAAACCUUUAAUUUGACUUCACUUUCUUACCUGUCUGAAAUUUGACAAUUAAAGAUGCAUUUAAGCUAACAAGCAUUAGCAUUUUAAAAAUGCAAAUGUGUGUGUGUGUUUGUGUAUGUGUUGAGGAGAAUGUCAUGUUAAUAGACUAUUAAUUAUUUUGACAAUAGUAGGAUAUUGGUCAAUCCAAGUCCUUUUCUUUCUAGCAGACGGUUGAAGCUAACUGCACUGAGAUCACAGAAGUUGUAUGAAGAGGAAGAGAUGGAGUAUGGAGAAGUGGAUAUGGGGAGAGGUAGUGCUGUCCUCAGUCUCUUGGGGCAUACUUCUUUCCCGAUCUGGCACAAACGACCCCUCAGGGCUUAAAGACUUGCGAAUGAUGGAUGAUCAAGGUAUGCAUUUCUUAAUCAAGCUGCUGUAUUUGCCCAUCUAAAGAACUGUUUAAAAAACACAUCUAGCAGAUCUCUGCCUCCAGUGCUCACAUAUUAUUUAACUCCAACUUUUACUUUUGAAAAAUCUAACUAAAAUCUUAUUCAGGCUGUGACCAAAGGAGAGGGCAGGCUAAAAAAUGUCCUAUGCAGGUGAAGGGC